rnacentral:tRNA from 1 species
GCCUUCGUGGUGUAACGGUAGCACACUCGACGCGUAUUUUAGAGGUCCGGGUUCGAGUCCUGGCGAGGGCA